UAAAAAACCCUCUGAUACGGGAAUCCUAGU
rnacentral:piRNA from 1 species